rnacentral:rRNA from 1 species
UACGGAGGGUGCAAACGUUGCUCGGAAUUAUUGGGCGUAAAGCGCACGUAGGCGGUUCGUUAUGUCGGAUGUGAAAGCCCCGGGCUUAACCCGGGAAGGGCAUCCGAAACUGGCGGGCUUGAGUACGGAAGAGGGUCUCGGAAUUCCCGGUGUAGAGGUGAAAUGCGUAGAGAUGUGGAGGAACACCAGUGGCGAAGGCGGCUUUUUGGUCUGUAACUGACGCUGAGGCGCGAAAGCGUGGGGAGCAAACAGG